rnacentral:lncRNA from 1 species
AUGUCAUUCAGGGGAAGGUAAUUGAGGGUCAGGUUAUUCAGGUGUAGGUUAUUCAGGGGCAGGUAAUCCAGGGUUAAGUAAUUAAGGGGUAUGUAAUUCAGAGCAAGGUAAUUCAGUGGCAGGUAAUUGAGGGGCAUGUAAUUCAGGUGCAGUUAAUUCAGGUUUAUGUAAUCCAGGUGCAGGUAAUUCAGGGGAAUGUAAUUCAGGUGCAUGUAAUUAAGGGGCAUGUAAUUCAGGUGUAUGUAAUUGAGGUGCAUGUAAUUCAGGGGUAGGUAAUUAAGGGGCACGUAAUUCAGGGGCAUGUAAUUCAUGGGUGGGUAAUUCAGAGGAAUGUAAUUCAGGGGCAUGUAAUUCAGGGGUAAUUCAGGGAAGGUAAUUUAGAGGAUUGUCAUUCAGGGGCAGGUAAUUCAGGGUUAGGUAAUCCAGGGGAAGGUAAUUCAGGGACAGGUAAUUUAGAGGAAUGUCAUUCAUAGGCAGGUAAUUCAGGGGCAGGUAAUUCAGGGGUAUGUAAUUCAGUGGAUUGUAAUUCAGAGAAAAUGUUAUUCAGGGGCAGGUAAUCUAGGUGCAGGUAAUUCAAGGGCAGGUCGUUCAGGUGCUUGUAAUUAAGAGGCAUCUAAUUGAGGGCCAUGUAAUUCAGAUGUUUGCAAUUCAGCGGCAGGUAAUUCAGAUGCAUGUAAUUUAGGGGCAAGUACUUCAGGGGUAUGUAAUUCAGGGGCAGGUAAUUCAGAUGUAUGUAAUUCAGGGGUAAUUCAGGGGCAGGUAAUUCAGGGGCAUGUAAUUAAGGGGAAGGUAGUUCAGGGGCAUGUAAUUCAUGGGCAGGUAAUUGAAGGGCAUGUAAUUUAGGGGCAGGUAAUUCACGGGCAUGUAAUUCAGGUGUAUGUAAUUCUUGGGCAGGUAAUUGAGGGGCAGAUAGUUCAGGGGCAGGUAAUUCAGGUGUAUGUAAUUCAGGUGCAUGUAAUUCAUGGGCAGGUAAUUCAGGGGUAUGUAAUUCAGGGACAUGUCAUUCAGGGAAGGUAAUUCAGGGGCAUGUAAUUCAGGGGCAUGUAAUUCAUGGGCGGGUAAUUGAGGGGAAGGUAAUCCAGGUGCAGGUGAUUUAGAGUAAUGUCAUUCAUUGGCAGGUAAUUCAGGGGCAGGUAUUCAGAGGAAUGUAAUUCAGUGGCAUGUAAUUCAGGGGAAGGUAAUUAAGGGACAGGUAAUUUAUAGGAAUGUUAUUCAUGGGCAGGUAAUUCAGGGGCAGGUAAUUCAGGGGUAUGUAAUUCAGGGGCAUGUAAUUCAGAUGAAAGGUAAUUCAGGGGCAUGUCAAUCACGGGCAGGUAAUUUAGGGAUAGAUAAUUCAGAGGCAGGUAAUUCAGGUGUUUGCAAUUCAGGGGCGGGUAAUUCAGAUGCAUGUUAUUUAGGGGCAGGUAAUUCAGGGGCAGGUACUUCAGGGGUAUGUAAUUCAGGGCAGGUAAUUCAGGGGUAUGUAAUUCAGGGCAGGUAAUUCAGGGGAAGGUAAUUCAGAUGUAUGUUAUUCAGGGGAAGGUAAUUCAGGGGCAGGUAAUCCAGGGGCAUGUAAUUCAGGGGCAGGUAAUCCAGGGGCAUGUAGUUCAGGGGCAGGUAGUUCAGGGGCAUGUAAUUCAUGGGCAGGUAAUUGAGGGGCAUGUCAUUCAGGGGAAUGUAAUUUAGGGGCAGGUAAUUCACGGGCAGGUAAUUCACGGGCAUGUAAUUCAGGGGUAUGUAAUUUAUGGGCAGCUAAUUCAGGGGUAUGUAAUUCAGGGGAAUGUCAUUCAGGGGCAGGUAAUUCGGGCAUGUAAUUCAUGUGCGGGUAAUUGAGGGGAAGGUAAUCCAGGUGCAGGUGAUUUAG